UCGUGUUGCUUGAUAGUGCAGCACUAAGAGGGUGGUAAACUCCAUCUAAAACUAAAUAUAACCAUGAGACCGAUAGUAAACAAGUACCGUGAGGGAAAGUUGAAAAGAACUCUGAAUAGAGAGUUAAAUAGUACGUGAAACUGCUUAGAGGUUAAGCCCGAUGAACCUGAAUAUCAACA
rnacentral:rRNA from 1 species